rnacentral:rRNA from 1 species
AGAGUUUGAUCCUGGCUCAGAUUGAACGCUGGCGGCAGGCCUAACACAUGCAAGUCGAACGGUAACAGGAAGCAGCUUGCUGCUUCGCUGACGAGUGGCGGACGGGUGAGUAAUGUCUGGGAAGCCGCCUGAUGGAGGGGGAUAACUACUGGAAACGGUAGCUAAUACCGCAUAAUGUCGCAAGACCAAAGAGGGGGACCUUCGGGCCUCUUGCCAUCGGAUGUGCCCAGAUGGGAUUAGCUUGUUGGUGGGGUAACGGCUCACCAAGGCGACGAUCCCUAGCUGGUCUGAGAGGAUGACCAGCCACACUGGAACUGAGACACGGUCCAGACUCCUACGGGAGGCAGCAGAAGGGCGAAUU